rnacentral:rRNA from 1 species
UACGUAGGGUGCGAGCGUUAAUCGGAAUUACUGGGCGUAAAGCGUGCGCAGGCGGAUGUUUAAGUUAGGAGUGAAAUCCCCGGGCUCAACCUGGGAAUGGCUUUUAAGACUGGGCAUCUAGAGUUUGUCAGAGGGGGGUGGAAUUCCAAGUGUAGCAGUGAAAUGCGUAGAGAUUUGGAGGAACACCGAUGGCGAAGGCAGCCCCCUGGGAUGGAACUGACGCUCAUGUACGAAAGCGUGGGUAGCAAACAGG